AGGGCACCACCAGGAGUGGAGCCUGCGGCUUAAUUUGACUCAACACGGGGAAACUUACCCAGCCUGGACACUGGAAGGAUUGACAGAUUGAGAGCUCUUUCUUGAUUCAGUGGGUGGUGGUGCAUGGCCGUUCUUAGUUGGUGGAGCGAUUUGUCUGGUUAAUUCCGAUAACGAACGAGACUCUAGCCUAUUAAAUAGGCUCUCGGCUUUUAAACGCCGGGAGGACUUCUUAGAGGGACAGGUGGCGGUUCAGCCGCACGAAAGAGAGCAAUAACAGGUCUGUGAUGCCCUUUGUUGUCCGGGGCCGCACGCGCGCUACACUGAAGAGAUCAGCGUGCUUUACGUUCCUGCUCCGACCGGAGUGGGGAACCCAGUGAACCUUCUUCGUGAUUGGGAUAGAAGAUUGUAAUUAUUCUUCUUGAACGAGGAAUUCCCAGUAAAUGCGAGUCAUAAGCUCGCGUUGAUUACGUCCCUGCCCUUUGUACACACCGCCCGUCGCUACUACCGAUUGAACGAUUU
rnacentral:rRNA from 1 species